rnacentral:lncRNA from 1 species
CUUUCUGUCUUGAACUGUAACGAGGACAUUCUGGCAAGCUGAUUUAUUCAUCUUGACCUCCGCUGUGGUUAAUCCACCCGAGACAAAGAUCAGCUUCUGACAAACACUGCUUUCCUUUCCCUCAGAUAGGAAAGAAAUUCAGCAAGUUGCUUUCCGUCUCUGGCUUAGGUGUGCUUGAGAAGGAAGAUCCUGAGAGGAAAGAAGCAAAGAGCAUCUGUCCCUGGUUAAUCUCUGUGUGUUCACCGGCACUGCAUCCUGGUGUACUUGAUCAACUGGAUGCAUUUCACCAUCUUGAAGCUCUCCAAUACUAAAGAAGUUUUAAAAGAUGCUGAGGAGCCUACAGUCCAUACUGGUAUGUUCCAGUUUUGUUCUGUCAUCAAAUGGCAUGGGAACAAAUUUUUUAUUCUCUUUGGAUGGGAGUAGAUUAGUCAAACACACUGGAAAUGAAGAUGAAUACUAAGAGAUCACUGGAACAAUUAGUUCUGGACUCUUUAUCAAACCCUGUACCUAAGCUGCUAACUAUGAAUGAAACCAAUGCAUGAACAGUCCAUGACACACCACAGGCUCAAAGCAAUGGGCUCAAGAGAUCAUCGGCUAAAAACUUGGAGACUCUGAGAAAAAAAUGAAUCUUUCCUCCUUGACAGCAGUGUCAAGGACAUUCUGAACGUGUGGAGAGAAGUCACCAGUGACCCUCCUGACGAAGAUUCCAGUACUAGCAGGAGGCCAAGUAACCCCACACCAAUUUCCUCUUUAGUGGAGGCUGACUGGCUUUCAGUGUGCUACAGCCAUCUCAAGGAGCCAUAGACUGUCAGAACUGGAGGAUACCCAAGGGCAUGGCAUCCAAUUCCCACACUUGAUGUUCCAGGAAACCCAGGUCACCAGAAGUGAAGUGACUUUUCAUUGCCACCCGCUGUUAGUGUCAUAUUAAUCUCCUAAUUCAAAAGUUAGUCUUCUCUGACCCAAAUUCUUCUGGGCAAGGUUCAAAUAAAUAUCUGCUUUGUUUUACAAAA